rnacentral:misc_RNA from 1 species
UCCCCGUUACCGGGGCAGUCUGGCCUGAAAAAUACAACAGACCAUAAGGGUUGCGCUCGUUGAUGGACUUAACCAAACAUCUCACGACACGAGCUGACGACGGCCAUGCAACACCUGUCACUUGGUUCCAAAAGGCACAGUCUACUUUCGUAGGCCUUCCAAGGAUGUCAAGUCCUGGUAAGGUUCUUCGUUUAUCAUCGAAUUAAAGAACAUGAUCCACCGCUUGUGCGGGUCCCCGUCAAUUCCUUUAUGUUUUAGCCUUGCGGCCGUACUCCACAGGCGGGAUACUUAACGCGUUAGCUUCGCUACUUGAGGGGUCGAUACCCCAAACAGCUAGUAUCCAUCGUUUACGGCGUGGACUAC